rnacentral:misc_RNA from 1 species
UCCUACUUUCGCGGCAGUCCGUCCAGAGUCCCCGCCUUCACGCGUUGGUAACUGAACGUAGGGGUUUCGCUCGUUAAAGGACUUAACCUAACACCUCACGGCACGUGCUGACGACAGCCAUGCAGCACCUGUUCCGGUUACGCCUUGAGGGCAAUCAUGAUGCUUUCACACCACUAAUCCCGGUAUGUCAAGACCUGGUAAGGUUCUUCGCGUUGCAUCGAAUUAAGCCACAUGCUCCGCCGCUUGUGCGGGCCCCCGUCAAUUCCUUUGAGUUUUAGCCUUGCGGCCGUACUCCCCAGGCGGGGUGCUUAAUGCGUUAGCUUCGGCACGGAGAGGGUUGAAGACCUCCCCACACCUAGCACCCAACGUUUACGGCUGGGACUAC